UUGCUGUGACCCGUAGAUCCGAACUUGUGUCACAAAAUGUUUAAUAUCACAAGCUCGUUUCUAGAGGACACAGUUAC